ACCAUGGUGGCUUAGUGGUUUGCGCACCUGCCUAAUAAGCAGGAGACCCAGAUUCGAUUCCUGGCCUUGGUA